GACGAACGCUGGCGGCGUGCUUAACACAUGCAAGUCGAACGGAAAGGCCCUGCUUUUGUGGGGUGCUCGAGUGGCGAACGGGUGAGUAACACGUGAGUAACCUGCCCUUGACUUUGGGAUAACUUCAGGAAACUGGGGCUAAUACCGGAUAGGAGCUCCUGCUGCAUGGUGGGGGUUGGAAAGUUUCGGCGGUUGGGGAUGGACUCGCGGCUUAUCAGCUUGUUGGUGGGGUAGUGGCUUACCAAGGCUUUGACGGGUAGCCGGCCUGAGAGGGUGACCGGCCACAUUGGGACUGAGAGACGGACCAGACUCCUACGGGAGGCAGCAGUGGGGAAUAUUGCACAAUGGGCGGAAGCCUGAUGCAGCAGCGCCGCGUGCGGGAUGACGGCCUUCGGGUUGUAAACCGCUUUCGCCUGUGACGAAGCGUGAGUGACGGUAAUGGGUAAAGAAGCACCGGCUAACUACGUG
rnacentral:rRNA from 1 species